GCUGUGUGUGAGGCUGAAGGAUGUGCUGUGUGCUGGGGUGGUUGAGGUCCUGCAGGGCACUGAAGGAUGUGCUGUGUGCUGGGGUGGCUGAGGUCCCUCAGGGUGGUUGAGGUCCGUCAGGGCACUGAAGGAUGUGCUGGGGUGGCUGAGGUCCUGCAGGGCACUGAAGGAUGUGCUGGGGUGGCUGAAGGAUGUGCUGUGUGCUGGGGUGGCUGAGGUCCGUCAGGGUGGUUGAGGUCCGUCAGGGCACUGAAGGAUGUGCUGGGGUGGCUGAGGUCCUGCAGGGCACUGAAGGAUGUGCUGUGAGGCUGAAGGAUGUGCUGUGUGCUGGGGUGGCUGAGGUCCCUCAGGGCACUGCAGGAUGUGCUGGGGUGGUUGAGGUCCUGCAGGGCACUGAAGGAUGUGCUGUGUGCUGGGGUGGCUGAGGUCCCUCAGGGUGGUUGAGGUCCGUCAGGGCACUGAAGGAUGUGCUGGGGUGGCUGAAGGAUGUGCUGUGUGCUGGGGUGGCUGAGGUCCGUCAGGGUGGUUGAGGUCCGUCAGGGCACUGAAGGAUGGCGUUGCCCCUUUUGUUUCUAUCACUUAGUUUGAGGGUUUUUUUUUUUUUUUUUGGUUGAGUUCUCAUAUCAAGUGGCCUGUUGCACAGUUGCUGGCUGACCUUGAGAAUAGCUGGAAUAUCAUGGGUGGUCUGAUUCCAAACCAUCCAGUCUGGCAGACCCUCAGGCAGGAAACCAUGCAUGCAUGUUAGGAAUCUGCUCAUAGAAAUGCUGUGGUGAAGGUCUGAAAAGCUGCAUGAAAUCCAGUGAGAGAAGCUCCCAGAGACUCUUAGGGUCAUAAAAGCACCAUUUGUCCUCAGAGUAGUCCAGCAUAGCCUACAUAGAGGUCUGUGUGGUGGUGUGCUUUAACUGCGAUCAUAUCCCAUUGACCUAGUUAACAUAUAGGCAGUACAAGGAUAUGUGUAGUGUUUUGUCCAAUUAAUGAAAGAUGUUGUAUGCCGUAUGUAGGUUUAUUGUGUUGGCAAUGUUUUGAUUCUCAUGGGGUACAGUAUUUCAGCUGUUGAUUGUAUGUCUGACUUUUUUGAUGUACAUCCUAAAAGUUCAGUUUAAUCACCCCUUCUCCCCACAGGCUGAUAACAGUCGUAGGCACCUUUUCCCUUCUUUAGGUCACGUGUCUCACUGGUAACUCAUAGCGGAACUGGCCCAAGUUUGCCAGGACCCUUACGGCACACUGACUGCAUCUGUGUUGUCUUUGUCAUUUGUUUUUGUUUGUGCUCAG